rnacentral:rRNA from 1 species
GAAUUCAACUCCUACGGGAGGCAGCAGUGGGGAAUAUUGCGCAAUGGGCGGAAGCCUGACGCAGCGACGCCGCGUGAGGGAUGAAUGCCUUCGGGUUGUAAACCUCUUUCAGCAGGGACGAAGCGAGAGUGACGGUACCUGCAGAAGAAGCACCGGCCAACUACGUGCCAGCAGCCGCGGUAAUACGUAGGGUGCAAGCGUUGUCCGGAAUUAUUGGGCGUAAAGAGCUCGUAGGCGGUCUGUCGCGUCGGCUGUGAAAACUCGGGGCUCAACCCCGAGCCUGCAGUCGAUACGGGCAGACUAGAGUGCUGUAGGGGAGACUGGAAUUCCUGGUGUAGCGGUGAAAUGCGCAGAUAUCAGGAGGAACACCGGUGGCGAAGGCGGGUCUCUGGGCAGUAACUGACGCUGAGGAGCGAAAGCGUGGGGAGCGAACAGGAUUAGAAACCCUAGUAGUCCAGGCGUU